AUGAAGAAGAUACGUGAGUAUUUUUGGAGGUAUCAAAAGUGACUAUGCUGACAUGAGUAACGAAAAUCAUGUAGAAUCAUGAUCACCGUAUGUUCAAGGGUUUCUGCGUUCUGGUCUACAGCGCAGAGUUAUGUUCGGUCCCUAAGAGAUACACGCAUCCGUGUGCUUAAUGGACAGGAUUUAUAUAGGACGGUACUUGCUUCU
rnacentral:rRNA from 1 species